GUGGGCAUCAUCCCUUUAAAAAAAGGAAGAAAAAAAAUAAAAAGGUACAAAGUGCUGGGAGUCAGAUCCAAAACCUAAGUUUAAGACUGACCAAGUUAAACAGAAUACUUCUAUUGUAAGAAAUAGGAUCACUGAAAAAAGAACUGUCCUCAAUACGUAGCUUCCCUUGACCUAGCAGGCCAAAAAAGAAGAACCAAUUGAUUGUCGGACAAGGUA
rnacentral:lncRNA from 1 species